UACGGGGGGGGCAAGCGUUGUUCGGAAUUACUGGGCGUAAAGGGCGCGUAGGCGGCCCUCUAAGUCAGACGUGAAAUCCCUCGGCUCAACCGGGGAACUGCGUCUGAUACUGGAGGGCUCGAAUCCGGGAGAGGGAUGUGGAAUUCCAGGUGUAGCGGUGAAAUGCGUAGAUAUCUGGAGGAACACCGGUGGCGAAGGCGGCAUCCUGGACCGGUAUUGACGCUGAGGCGCGAAAGCUAGGGGAGCAAACGGG
rnacentral:rRNA from 1 species